AUAAAUCAACAUGAAAAAAUUAUUAUUAUUUUUUUUAAAGAAAUGUGGUCUAAAGGCAGUACUCAGAGUGGACCAAGAGAAAGGAGGAACUUUAAAAAUCCACACCCUGGGUCCUCUGAUAAUCAAAGGUUGAUCAGAACAUAUUUAUUUUCAAAAAACGUGUGAGCUUUUCCUUACUGCUUAUCACACAGGCACGGACAUUUGAAGGACAGAAAGAUCUGCAUGAAGGGAUAUUUAACUACAGGGGGUUGUAGUAGAGGGCUAGGCUGGGAGCACAUAUUUCAUGGUUUGUAGGCAAAUUUCCUUGUGGCUCACCCACAGCUGAAAUUCUUUCAAGUCCUUGGCCCAUGAGCUAGCGCUAAUUUGCAUGGUAUUAUUUUUUCCAUCGGUUUAACAAACUGAGAGCAUGAUUGCCGAUCUUGGCCUGUUUUCCUCCUCAGCAUGAGCAGUGACCCGUGUGCGGGAGGAUGAUUUAUUGAGAUAUUAAUUUGUUUUUUUUUUUGUUCUUGCAGAAUUUCUCCCACCCCCGUUCUGAGAAGGUAGCUGGGCUUUUGCGUUUGUCUCCGAGGGUGUUUAUGAUCUAGGACCGAGCACGCACUUUGGACAGGCUACCCCACUCCUUCCUUCUCUGGCUUUUUUGACUUUUGGAUUUCUGGGAAGCCUAAACUCAGUGAGGGGAUACGCUUGACAGGGGAGUUUGACAGAGACCAGGAGGUGCCUACCGAAGCAGAGAGUAUUGGGGAGGUAUGCAGAUUCCCCGAGCUUAGGAAAGGUGGCUUUGGGGUCGUGUGUCUGGCCUGUUUCCUGGGGGUGACCCAGUGUGGUGGAAAAUGCCUGCAUAGCGUGCCUAGGAAGGUGCAUUUCAGGUACCAGAAACCCCCCUAGUUCUAUACUUGCACUUGAGAUCGUUCCAGACCCCACAGUUUCCCACCUGGACGAGGCUAGGUGAUGGGACGUGGAUUAGGGGGUCCUCCUCAAGUGUUCUACCACCGGAAAACCUUCAGGCCAUCCCCCCAACACUGAGGGGGUUUGGGGAAAGGAGAUCCCGUGAUGGCUUAGAUUCAAUUCCCAACCAACCCAAUAGGAGUUUCAUUUCAUUUGACUUUCUUUCAAGAAAAGUUUCAUUUCAUAUGAUUUUUUUUUUUUUUUUUUUUUUAGGAGAAGAAAUCAGGGUGCCUGGGUGGCCUAGUGGGUUUGACGUCCGACUUCGGCUCAGGUCAGGAUCUUGCGGUUCGUGGGUUCGAGCCCCGUCUGGGGCUCUGUGCUGAGAGCUCGGAGCCUGGAGCCCGCUUCGGAUUCUGUGUCUCCCCCUCUCUCUGCCCCUCCCCCACUCACGGUCUGUCUCUCUCUUCUCUCUCUCUCAAAUAAACUUUAAAAAAAGAAAAAGAAAUCCAUGUUACAUCUCCCUCACACCUGUGCUUGCGGAGUAAAAUCAGAUUUUGUUGGAGUAACAAUUUCAUCCGGAAAUCUCAGUGGGUUUAGCCCAACGAAGCCUUCUCUCUCACUCACGUGCCUACUUGUUUAAUGAAGGUCACAGCACGACUCAGGGACCCGGCUUUAGGGACACACCGAGAUCCCAGUGAGUGGCCUUCGAGGUCAUCACAGGGAGAAAAGAGAGGCACCAGCUGUUAAGGUCUUUGGCCAGGAAGUGACAUAGUCACCCCAACUCCCAUACCAUGGGCUAGAACCAGUCAUAGGGCCUCCGCCUGGCUGCAAGGGGGCUGGGACACAAGGGGAACACGUGGAUUUUGAUGCCUCUGCCGCAGUCUCACGGUACUUAGUUCACAUAGGAUGACUUUUUUUUUAACGCUAUCAACUUGCGUUUGUGUAGAGCUUAUUAACAAAUGCAUCCGGGGGGUUCUUUGCAUGGAUUAUAUCUAGUUCCCUCAAGCCCUGUGAAUACGUCAUCCCUCCCGUCUCCAGAAGAGGAAAUUAAGGAAACAGCACGGGAAAUGGAAAGGAGGGCCGAACAGCCAGGCCGUCUGACCUGAGCCUUUUCUGUUCUUCCACCAAAGCCUGAAAUCAGAAUGUGGGGGAGACAGCCUAUCAGUAACCGAUGUUCCCCCUGAUUAUAAAAGCAACAUUUCUUGGUGUAAAAAUCAAAAAACAGAGGGUGCGGAGAAAGCAAUGCUCCGUCAAGGGUUUAUUUAGAUUCCUGCCGGGGCCUCCGUAAAGACAGGGAGAGGUCAUGGGGGAGACCGCGAAACACGCUGAUCUGUUCACCAGCGGGAAAGCAGGGACGGUAUCGAGAUUUGAGUGAGAUUUUUGCAGAAUGGGCAGAUUUCACAACACAAACUCGUUUCUAUCCGGUUGAAAUACAAUCACUUCCUCCUCUCGGAGCUGGCUUCAUGCUGUGUUGCAACAGAUCUCUUAUUUUCGCGGGGGCCACCUGGAUUCCCAAGCCCAUCCUGACCUCAUGGGGUCACUGCUCUGGCUCAGCGGUUGAGUAAGACCUAGCCAGGGUGACAGGGGCUUCUGAGCUGGAGGGGACCCCAAGGAGAGGAGGCCUGAAUCGGAAGGGGCGUUUCAGGACCCAUUCCAGGCACAGGAACCGUGUGGACAGACCUCCGUUCUGAUGAGCAAAAAUCAGAGGAACCAGUGAUCCGAAAGGGGUCUACGAGUCGGAACAAUGAAAUUCCGUAUAAAAUCAGUGUUGCCGUCACGACUUCCUUAAAGGCACGGGGACCAGAUGACUUGUCCCGGGUCACACGGCUACAAAGUGGCAGGGCUGUGAUGAAACCCAAGCCUGGAAUCAGAAUGUGGAUAAGACAAGCCGGCAGGCCUGUGUGCCGGGAACUGGGCAGUGCGGCCCAUGGGGACAUGACUACACGUACUUGCUCUGGGACACAGUGCCGCUCAUGCUGGGGAGUGCAUGGAGUCACUGACGGGACUGUCUUCCAAGGUGGAGGACCCUGGUCCUUACUCACAAGGUGUCCUCUGAGCGGUAGGAUGUGAGGGAGGAGGACCCCGGGGAAUUGACGGGAACCCUAUGGUCUUCCUGGGCCACAGGCUAGCAUUCGCCCUGUAGACACGACUGAUGGGUCUCCGAGCACAGCUAACUAACUCUGGGGUGGGCAGGUGUUCACAGAAAUGCUCUGAGAAGCUCGUCACUCUAGGCCCCAUCUGUCCUAUUUUCCCUUGGACUUGUUUUUCUCAACUAUUUUACAUUUAUUUUAUUGUAUUGUAUUUUAAAAAUUUUUUCAUUAAAAAAUUUUUUUUAAUAUUUAUUGAUUUUUGAGAGAGGGAGAGAGAGAGAGAGGGCAAGUCGGGGAGGGGCAGAGAGAGAGGGGGCAGAGGGUCCAAAGCCGGUUCAGCUGUCAGCAUGGAGCCUGAUGUGGAGCUUGAACUCAUGAACCACGAGUUCAUGGCCUGAGCCAAGGUCAGACGCUUAACCGACUGAGCCACCCAGGUGUCCCUACAUUUAUUUUAGGAGAUAGAUCAUAACGAUGUUUAUGAUCUAUCUCAUCAUAAAAUAAUGGGACAGUUACAAUGGUAACUGACGGCCUUUCUAUUCAUAACGGUACGGGGGGCAGGGUGCUCUCCCCAAACACCUAACGUCCAGGACCUAAAUCCCUGGAACCGGGGAAUGUGACCUUGUUUGGAAAUGGCAUCUGUGCAGAUGUAACACAGUUCAGGAUUUUGAGAAGAGAUGGUCUUGUAUUAUUCAGGUGAGCCCCAGAUGCAGUGACACGUGGCCUUCGAAGAGAGACACAUGGGCGGAAGAGGAGGUGAUGUGACUGUGGAGGCAGAGCUUGGGGUGAUGCGGCCCCGAGUCCAAGAAUGCUGGCAGCUAUUCUUGUAGCAAAGGACUUGUGCCCCCCCCCCCUCCGCCUCCCCAGAGCCUCUGACACCUUGGUUUCAGAUUCAGCCUCCAGAAGUGUGCAAGGAAACAUUCGUCACUGCAGCCCUAGGAAACCAAUGCAGUGACGGAAUUCCCUUCUCAGAACUUGCUCAGGAAAUGCGAAGACCCAAUGGCUCAAAGACGUGGCUGCCAGCUUCUGAGACGCGGGGCGUUAUCUCAGGCUCGCAGGUGUUGCCAAACAUCUCGUAAAGUAUCUCUGCCAAGGGGUCCAGGCCACGGAGCAA